ensembl:lncRNA
GCACGACACCAGAUUUACACAAAUCGAGUUUCCAGCAGCUUCAGGAGGGUCAGUUGUGAGUUAUUCAACAGAAAUGUCUCACAUCCUUCUUCUUCUUCUUCUUCUGACUUUUGAGACUGUGGAAUUAGAAGAGAUAAAAGUGAGGCCUAGACAAGAUGUCACUCUUCACUGUCAGGAUCCCAGUGGUGUAAAUAUCACUCUGUUAGAGUGGAGCAUACCUGAGAUUAAGUCAGACGGAUACGUCUUCUUCUACCGAAACGGGCGCUCAUAUGAAAGCUACCAGCAUGAGCGUUUUAAAGGCCGAGUGGAGCUGAAACACCCGUCUAUGAAAAACGGAGACGUUUCUGUGAUUCUCAAGAACGUCAACGUCAACGAUACAGGAACAUAUGAGUGUCGGAUUAUAACCAGUGAUCUCAGCAGCGGUCAGAGAGUUCAGAGUGAGUCCAGGCGGUCCAUCGACCUCACAGUCAUAGACUCUGGAGAUCCGACUGUAGAACACAAGGACAAGCAUGAUUUAAUUAUCAUUAUUGUUGCAGUUAGCUUGAUUUUACCGUGAGAACAGCAGGUGAGCGUGGUGGAGCUUUUAGCAGGUAGAGAGGUGGAGGAGACAGACGUAGAGUAGAUCAGUUUAUGUAAGCUCUGAUUAGACGGGGCAUUAAAAUGGGGCCACAGUAGCACGGUUAGCAAGUUCUCUCAGUGAGUUAAGCACUUUAUUAACUUUAAGUUUUUAUUUUGCACUUUUAAACACUUGAUUUAUUUCUGUUUGUGGCAACUGCAGCCAAUCAGCCACCUUCCUGCUUUCUGUCCAUCGCCCCCAUUAGAAAUAAUGACUCAAUGUAAUCUAAUAUGUGAUUAUAGUAUACCCAUGAUAUUUAUUUAAAAAACAUACAAACCAUUAUCAUAAUGGUUUUAUUGUGUUAUUAUGUGAGUUGUGGAAAGUUCUGAGUUGGAUCUGUAAAUAUCAGAAACCUUAUCAGUGAUUUAAACUGAGCUGAUCUCACAUUCAGAUCUCCACCUCGGGCGUGGCUGUUUUUAGACUUCUGUCAUGACGUCUUCUUCUUGUUCCUCUGUGCAAAAUACACAGUUGAUCUUUCAGCGUUUUUCAUUUUCAGGACUUCACAUGAGCAUUAAUCUGGUGAAUAGAGAGGAUUUUCAAUCUGAAGACGUUUUAACACAAUCUGUUUCCUGUUCUGAUGCCUCAGGAUCUCGUCCUUUCUCCUGAUCUGCAUCCUCGCCUAUUGUGCUGCCUUAAGGCGUUGAAACUCAUCAGAAAACUGCUCAGUCGUGAAGUUCAGGUUGGUUUAAAAUCUAAUUUGUUUGUCGUUUGUACGUUUGAGGUCUGUGGUGAGGCUGCAGAG